CUCAAGUAAUCCACCUGCCUCAGCCUCCCGGAGUGCUGGGAUUACCAGCAUGAGCCACCACCUCACCCAGCCCAUUUCCCACGUUCCUGAUGACUUUUGGGCCCACUUGCCCAGGAUUCUGCAGGCCAAUGUGGCUGUGGUUGCUGGGGCAUCUCAGAGGGGGAUACCUAGCACCCAUGGUCAGAGAAGAUCCAGCCGUCCUCCAACUCUUGAUGCCUAGUCCCCUCCCCCACUUGCAAGAAACCAAACUGGACUGGAGCGUUCCCCAGCUGGUGGGAGAGACGGAGAUCAGUCUGCUCAGCCUGUGGUCAGGCACUGCCCCACCCCUGAAGUCUCCAGAACCUUAGAUCUGGUCCCCAAGGUCACAGUGCCCAGGCAGUUCCCAUCGCAAAAAAAUAAAGUGUCUGUCUUUGCAUAGCAA